rfam:Camelus ferus unplaced genomic scaffold scaffold1155, whole genome shotgun sequence.
GUGGGUGGAGCUCAGUGGUAGAGUGAGUGCUUGGCAUGCACAAGGUGCUGGGUUCAAUCCCCGGUACCUCCA